GGAUGUGAGGGCAAUCUGGCUGAGACAUCUGUCAUCCCGUUGAUCCCCAGGGUUGAUUUGGCUAAUCUGGCUGGCUAGGUGGGUGUCCUCUUCCUCCCUCACCAUUCCAUGUGCAUCCCUCCCGAAGCUGCACGCUCGGUUGAAGAGGACGGCCUUUCCCGAAUAGAGAUGGACUGGUCUAGAACCUC
rnacentral:snRNA from 1 species